UAUCAUCUAGUCAUUGAUUCA
ensembl:piRNA 21ur-2398 ncRNA